rnacentral:rRNA from 1 species
CCUACGGGAGGCUGCAGUGAGGAAUAUUGGUCAAUGGGCUCGCGCCUGAACCAGCCAAGUAGCGUGAAGGAUGACUGCCCUACGGGUUGUAAACUUCUUUUAUAAAGGAAUAAAGUGAGGCACGUGUGCCUUUUUGUAUGUAAUUUAUGAAUAAGGAUCGGCGUACUCCGUUCCAGCAGCCGCGGGUAUACGGAGGAUGCGAGCGUUUUCCGGAUUUAUUGGGUUUAAAGGGAGCGUAGAUGGGUUGUUAAGUCAGUUGUGAAAGUUUGGGGCUCAACCGUAAAAUUGCAAUUGAUACUGGCAGCCUUGAGUACAGUUGAGGUAGGCGGAAUUCGUGGUGUAGCGGUGAAAUGCUUAGAUAUCACGAAGAACUCCGAUUGCGAAGGCAGCCUACUAAACUGCCACUGACAUUGAUGCUCGAAAGUGUGGGUAUCAAACAGGAUUAGAUACCCCUGUAGUC